GAUAUGAUCCGGCCCGUUGGUGCUCGCGCCCGGCUUUCCGCCGGCGCAGUUCAACGGGAAUCAGGAAGGGCCGCGCCACGCACGGCCGCGGCCCCAACCUGAGCUGCCCCCGCAACGGUAAGCGGAAGGCGCGCGCGGAUCGAUCCGGUCCGCACGGCGCGCGGCACGUGUCCGAGACCACUGGGCGUCAUCGCCCGGGAAGGCGACACGGGUUCAUCUUCCGACAGCCCGGAUACCGGCCAACAGGAGGAUUCCCCG
rnacentral:ncRNA from 1 species